rnacentral:rRNA from 1 species
UGGGGAAUAUUGCACAAUGGGCGCAAGCCUGAUGCAGCCAUGCCGCGUGUAUGAAGAAGGCCUUCGGGUUGUAAAGUACUUUCAGCGAGGAGGAAGGCAUUGUGGUUAAUAACCACAGUGAUUGACGUUACUCGCAGAAGAAGCACCGGCUAACUCCGUGCCAGCAGCCGCGGUAAUACGGAGGGUGCAAGCGUUAAUCGGAAUUACUGGGCGUAAAGCGCACGCAGGCGGUUGAUUUAAAGUCAGAUGUGAAAAAUCCCCCGACGCA